rfam:Tepidiphilus thermophilus strain JCM 19170 genome assembly, contig: Ga0061068_101
GAAGUCCGCCCGGCAGUCGCUGCGCGCCGCAAGGCGCGGAGAGGAAAGUCCGGGCUCCACAGAGCAGGAUGCCGGCUAACGGCCGGGCGCCGCGAGGCGACGGAAAGUGCCACAGAGAACAGACCGCCGAUGGCCCGCGAGGGCUCAGGCAAGGGUGAAACGGUGGCCGGGGAGACCCGGCGCGGGGGCGAUCCCUGCGGGUAAGAGCCCACCGCGUCUCCGGUAACGGAGGCGGCACGGUAAACCCCAUCCGGAGCAAGGCCGAAUAGGGGAGCGAUGGCGUGGCUCGCGCCGCUCCCGGGUUGGCCGCUCGAGCCCGUCGGCAACGGCGGGCCUAGAGGAAUGACUGCCCCGCAUCGCACGAUGCGCGACAGAACCCGGCUUAAGCGGCGGGCUUCUCUU